GAUUCCAAACAACGGAACCAUUUGACAUUUUGUGGGUUGAUGGAACUCUGCCCCUUUUUCACAACAUCUCAUCAGAUGUCAGCCAUCCAGUUAAUAAAGGACAAUGUGUAGCCUUUGACCCAUUAACUGGAACAUGGACAUCUGAAUUAUGCUCAAAGCAGAAGGAAGCACUCUGUAGAUAUAACAAAGGAAAAAUCUGUCGGUGUUUCAGUGAGUAAUUAGUUGUUUUGAACAGUUACUUCGCAUUGUGGAUUUGUUGCAGGAGAGAGUUGCAUGCAUAAAAGUUGCAGACUAUCUUUUGCUUAACAAAAGUGAUUACCCACAAAAUGCAACUAUUGCAAAUUACAUCAUCAAUGUGUUAUUAGAAGCCACAGAUGAAAGCCAUGCUAAACUCACCUCGGCUGACUUGCUAGGGUUGACAAGAUUUCUUGGAAAUGUCGCUGAGCUGGAUUUUGAGACAGAA